rnacentral:rRNA from 1 species
UGCCAGCAGUCGCGGUUAAACCAGGGACCUAGUCAUUUUUAACGGUUAAAAACAGUUAAGAGGUUGUAAGUUAGUUAAUUAAUAUUAUAAGGUAAAAUUUGAAUAUUAAAAAAGGUCUUUAUAGCAAAACUCUGAGGCUGUGAAAGCCUUGAGGGAAACUGGGAUUAGAUACCCCAUUAUUCAAGGGCAUAAAGGAAUUACCAGGGUACUACGAACUGCGUGUUUAAAACUCAAAGGGCUUGGCGGUGUUUUAGACCCCCCAGGGGAACCUGUCUCGUAAUCGAUAGUCCACGUAACACCUAACCUUGCUUUAUUAGUCUGUAUACCGUCGUCGCCAGACAACUUUCAAGAAAAGAAAAGUUGGCAAAUAACAUUUAUAGUUUGACGUCAGAUCAAGGUGCAGCUUAUAGCUAGGGUGGGAUGGGUUACAAUUGCAAAUUACAUUACCGAAGUUGUUUGAAAAAGCUCUCUAAAAGGCGGACUUGGAAGUAAGAAAGAAUAUAAAAACAUUCUGAAUAUGGCUCUGAAAUGUGUACAAAUCGCCCGUCGCUC